UCCGACUGCAGUUUGUGAGUAAGACAUAUAGCUUUGAUUAAUACUGACACCGACUGAUAUGAAGGAGCUUGAUGUGCUGCAGCCGAGACCCCAAAGUAGGGGAGAUGCUCCAUUAUGUCGGUUUGCUGAUUCAGGGAAUCUGCUCCAGCCGAGCUGUGUUUUAUUGGAGCAGAGACACAGAUGCUAAAUCAGAAGGACGGCUUUGUUAUAAUACACACAUUCCAACCUACAGGAGAAAACAAUUAAACAUCCAUCAGGCAUGGAUGGAUUAGAGGUUAAUGAGAGAUGCAUGCAGCUGUUAAUGUUGCACCAGAGGAUAAAAGAUCACAGGGUUCAAACGAGGGCCCGGCAGAACAAAGUCACUCAGGAGGAAAGAGAAGAAAAAAAAAAAAAAAGAAGAAGAAGCCUGCUCCUGCAGUGAGCAGAACAUGCUGCACUGCUGUGGAGCAUGGCCAAGAUGCUGAGAGCUCCAAUGCACACAAUUCACACUGAAGGGAAGCCAUCCCACAGUGCACUGCAACCAUCAUUAAAGAACGCAUGACAAGCGUACCACCAAGUGCGCCAUUGUGAGGCACAGCGAUGCAGGACAGGAAGUUCAACGUUAUUGGCUGACGGGAUGAUGGAUGUUCUCACUCUCUCAGAGUUGUGCACCGCGCAAAAAGACUAAUUUAGUUGGUCAAGAUAUUUCUAUGUUUUUGCGCACUGCAGAUUAGCACCACCAAGGCAUCUUGGGUAAUGAAGUGUGAGUAAAUUAAGGACUUUUCCUUUUUACUUAAGAGAGAAUUGAAACAAGGACAUAAACUCACCACCAGAGUUCAUCAUCGCUAACCGUUAAUCAACGAAGCGUGCACGAGAACGAUGCGGCGGUUUACAGGUCAUUUCAAACGUUUCUCUCGCUUUGACAUAUCUGGUGAAAGAGACAUUUGUUUAACUUAUUGAUGUGUGUUGUUCUUUUUUUUAACCUCAAAUGUUUUUUAGCAUGCUUCAUUUGCAAUCGGCCGCCCAGACAUUAAAAAAAACAAAGAGAUUUUGUGACACGUUGAAAGUACACCAAAGAACACGGCCUUGGAGAUUGGAGAGCAUUAAUUUCUGAUUAAUAAGAAUAUGUGUGUGUGUGUGCGUGUGUGUGUGUGUGUGUGUAUAAGGAGAGGGUGUCAGAUAUGUCCUUUACAAUGAUGAUCCUUCAGGGUGUCAGUAGAGCAAAAGGAGGGUAGGUUUGCUGAGGAGGACAGAGAGGAGAAGAGGUUAGACUCUCUCUCUCUCUUUCUCUCUCUCUCUCACACACACACACACACACACACACAAACACCACACAUACGCACACACACUGACCCCGGAGGUUGCAUUCCCCUUUAAAAGUCCCAUCCCACUCAGAUACGCAGAGCUCAUGCAGGAUCUGCUGCGGCAGUGGGGGAACACUGCUGAGCUGUGCAGUUUGUGCUGCCAGCAAGCGUGCUCUGAAGAGGAGGGGGAGCAGGCGCACACCGGAGGAGGAGGAGGAGUGAUGGAGAGAGAGGGAGAGAGAGAGUGCAAACAAUGUCAUUCUGUUCAGGAGGUAAUGCUGCAGUCAACUUUGCCACGCCAUGAGAGCACAUCAGCAGCAGCCAAGAGGCUCAGAGAGAGUGCAGAGAAGUUUUCCUCCUCGCCUGCCGGGGUGUCUUCAGCUGCAGAGAGCCAUCUGAGCAGGAUCAUGCAGCAGGUCCGGCCGUUGGUGGCGUGUUGGAACAUGCCUUGACUUGUCGAGCUGACUGAGUGAAGCAGAGAGAGCUGCAUAUACACAGACAGACGGAGAGAGAGAGAGAGAGAGAGAGAGGGGGAGAGACUCCUGGUCAACUGUCUGCUGGAGUGAUGUGACCCACACUCACACACAGACACAGACAGAGACAGAGACAGAGACAGAGCCCUGCAGCAGCCCGGGACCAACUGAUGCCAACACUGCUGGAUGACGGAGCUGCUGCUGCUGCUGCUGCUGCUGCUGCUGCUGCUGCUGCUGAUGCCGCCUCACUGCCUGAGUCACCAGCACAGAACCAGCCGUGGACAGUGAGAGCUGAGACCCGAGGGACACAUCAGCAGGACACGGGUGCAGUAUGUGAGUGUUUCUCUGGCAGUGUCUUAGCUGGUUGUUGUGAGGAGUGAGAACGAAGCAAUCAGCAAGUAUACUGCCGCAGAAAUUCUUCGCAAUAAGAGGCCCCGGGACUGCAGCCGUCACUGGGAGCAGAAGGGAGAGCGGCUGGGAAGAGACAAAUCAGCAGCAUGUCAAAGACAGGGAUCCUGCUGCUACUGUAAGUUUUUACAUGUGUGCUGACACAGGAGAAAAUGGAGCGGAGCUGGAGAGACCGUGAAGAGAGUCACAGAUGAAACACCGACUGACUGAGAGCAGGAUCUGUUUUCAUUUACUGCCUCUGAAAUAUUUACAGAUGGAUUAAAAGCAUCAAAGUUCAAGCAACAUGCUUAUACGUAUACGCGACUCUCUGCUGCCAUCUUGUGACGAAAAAGUGUUUUUCGUUCAGUAUGUAUAAUUUCUUCACAGGACUGGUAUAUAACGACCUAUUUCAUAUUCUAGUUGCACGUGUACAUGGUUUAGGUGUUCAACAUUUUUGUCUCAAGAAUUUACCCUGACGGUUAUGACGUCAUUGGUGUGAAUGAUUUGUUGUGAAAAUACCUCUUUGAUAUUAAUAAAACUUGGAAUAUG